GUGAAUCAUCGAAUCUUUGAACGCAAAUUGCACCCUCUGGUAUUCCGGAGAGUAUGCCUGCUUGAGGGUCAUUUUACAUAAAAAUCGGCGUUUUUGCUGCCUUUCGUGGUGACGCACCGGACUUGGGUCGUCUUGCCUUCGGCUUAGGGACCUAAAAUUUUGCAUGAUUUUUUUCGAACGUAGUUAAAUGAUUUUACGUACGUUUGCGAUAUCGAAUACUAGGUGUGGCCAUCCUCAUGAUUCGCGUC
rnacentral:misc_RNA from 1 species